rnacentral:lncRNA from 1 species
GUACACCUGUAAUCCCAGCAAUUUGGGAGGCUGAGGCAGGAGGUUUGCAAGUUCGAAGCCAGCCUCAACAAUUUAGUGAGGCCCUAGGCAAAUCAGUGAGACCCUGUCUCUAAAUAAAAUAUACAGAGGGCUGGAGAUGUCGCUCAGUGAUUAAGUGCCCUUGUGUUCAAUCCCCAGUACAAACAAACAAACAAACAAGAGGUUUAUUCAGGUCUUGACUUUCUAAAACCAGUAGAACCAGUAUUGCUGUUUAGUACCUUGUGAUUCCUACUUUCUUAAAUUGUGCAGGGAUGAUUGUUGAAAAGAAGAAAUCAAACAUGUUUUAUAAGUUGCUUUUAAGGCAUAUUCUGACAGCACAUUUGAACACAGAGAAACAGAUGAAAUCACUGAAUAUUUACUAUUCAGAAAGGUAAGUUUAUCCUCUAUUAUUAGUGAAAAUUCUAAUAGUUACUCUGAUUUUUCUGGUACAUUAUAAUCCAUUUAAGUUGAUAAUACUGUCUCAUUUGGGAACUAAAUCUUUGCUCCUGGUGGAUUCUGCUAUAGAAACAAAAUCUGCAUUUUGGAAAAGGGUUUUCAUUCAUUCAACAAAUAUUUAUUGAACAUCUACUAUGUAAUAGGCAUAGUUCUAGGCUGGGGAAAGUAACCAAACUGACAAAACCCUGCCUCUCAGAGCUUACUACUGUGUCUGCCUUUUCUUUUCUCUUUCACUAGUUGCUGUCACAGACUCUUCUGUGGUAGAAGGGCCCACAGGGAAGGUCUUUGUUUGUGUUGUGGAAUUAAACUGGCUUUGCCUAGUCUGGACCCAGCAGAUGUUCAGAGCUGACUCAUUUUCUUAUGGGUAUGCCUGAAUUCAUCACAGGAAUCCUUGCCAGGAUUCUCUGACCACAGUUCCCUUGUUUUUCCCUCUGGCUAACACUUCCCCUCAGUCCUUGGUUUGUUGGUUAUCUACACCACAGACUUCUCUGUCUGACCCUCCCUGCAGCCUUCUUAGGAAGGAUUCAAAAUGGCUCCACAAUGGCUCCUCCUGGGCCAAGCCUGAUCCUCCACAGGGAUCCCAGAAGGGGAAGACAAAAGGGACUUCUCAGAUUCCGAACUCUGUCCUACCAUCCCAACCUAUGGGAUAUUUCUCAGGUUAGAGACCCUAAAUGAAAGGUGACUUCCAAACUGCAGGGUAGCAGACUACAUUCUCCAUGAGGUUUUGAAGUGAAGGAGUAGGACUCUCACCCUGCUUUGAAAUUUGCAUUUUGGUUUGCAUUUCCCUGGGUGUCCAAUUUGUCUUCUGAAGCCUCAGCCCAAACUUUUAAUUUCUGUCUCUAUGUAUUUUGCAAAUAUAAUAGUUGUUUGUUUAUAUUUCCCCUCAAGAGGGCUUUCCUAUAGAUAGCUUUUUCUUCCCUGCCUCCAUACAGGGAAGUGUGGUUUUACCCCUGAGCUAUACCCCCAGGCCUUUAUUUUUGAUUUUGAGAAAGGGUCUCACUAAGUUGCCAAGGCUGGCCUCAAACUUAAUAUGCUCCUGUCUCAGCCUCCGGACUUGCUAGGAUUACAGGCAUGUACCACCAGGCUAGGUAGUUAAAAUUUUUUUUUAAUUGAAUUUUAAUGCUCAGCUAAAUUAUUCCCAGCUCAAAAGUAGAGAGAAAAAUCAGUAAAUACUUCUCUACUUACUGAUCCUUACUUACCUUCCUUAUCAUCUAAUAAUUGGGAAGAAAAUCACUAUGUAGUCAAAUAGAGGACACUUAGCUCAAGGCAGUGAUUU